CUACAAGUGUGACAUCAGCGGUCAUGGAGAGUCUCCAUCCAGCUGGAUCACUGUCACAGGUAAACCUACAACCACAACUUCACCCACCAUCUCUAUAACUCCACCCCCUACCACUGCGCUGCCCCCUGACUCCACCUCCUCCCAUUCUGUGAUGAGACCGGUCUGUCACCUGGUGGUGUUCACGCCAUACUUCAUCUCCACUUUCCUCAUGGUGUCUUUAUAUCGACGCAGAGCCAAAGGAAAUGACCUUCUCAUCUCCAAGGUAACAACACCAUCAGCCAGUGAAGAGCAGAGAUUGGCUGAGGACUCUGAUGACAUUGUGGUGGUGACUGCUGAGCACCAGUUCUGAGCUGCACAGAGUUCCUGCUCCGUGGUUAUCUCAUCACAUUGUGUGAAGUCAUAAACUCUGCUUUGUUACUCUGAACCUGUGAAGUUUGCUUUGUUCUGUCGGUUCACAGUGUGUCACCAGUUACCGUAACAUGCAUGUUUUUAGACCAUGAGAGGAAACCCACAAAGGCACAACUCUGCUGCCCUCUGUGCACAUUUUUCUACAGACAUCAAACUCAUCACAGCCUGCAGACUUUCAGGUGCAGUGGAAACUUCUAGUGUGGCUUUACUUCAGCCAUCUGUGGUGUGGUUGCUCUCAGCUUUGCCUGCAGCACCACCCAUGACUGUGAACUUCAAAAUUGCAAUUCAGAUUAACUUCCCAUCUUCCCAUCCCCUCUUAAAGAAGACAGUCCAGACAGAAAGACAUUUGUAUAUUUUUGCCUCUCUAACCUGUUAUUUUGAGACUCUGUUUUGUGUCACACAGGCUUGUUGUUCAUCUUUUUGCCCUCAUGCAUCCAAAUCUGAGAAAAAGCAGUUUUAGUAAUUAAGGUUUUGGAUCAUCUAAGUUCUCACUCUCUUGGAUAAGUUAUUUAUUUCAUAAGAUCAUUUAUUUGAUGAUUGAGCAGCUGUACAUGUUCUGGCUUCUUCUCACUUGUAAAAUCAGGUCAUAUACCACAAACAAUUUGUUGUUUUUGUCACUGACUUUACAAGGACAAAUAUUUUUCUAAGUUAAAGCACUUUUGAUAUUCAGAAGAGUUUUCAUAUCAUGAAGAGAAUUAUAGAUACUUAUGUCUGUGUCUUGUUAAAUAAUAAAAUGAU